UACGGAGGAUGCAAGCGUUAUCCGGAAUGAUUGGGCGUAAAGGGUCCGCAGGUGGCAAUGUGUGUCUGCUGUCAAAGAAUGAGGCUUAACCUCAUCAAGGCAGUGGAAACUACAUAGCUAGAGUACGGUCGGGGUAGAAGGAAUUCCCGGUGUAGCGGUGAAAUGCGUAGAGCUCGGGAAGAACAUCGGUGGCGAAAGCGCUCUGCUGGACUGCAACUGACACUCAGGGACGAAAGCUAGGGGAGCGAAUGGG
rnacentral:rRNA from 1 species